AUGUCUCUCCCUCUGUCUGUCCUUGUAUCUUGGUGUCUCUGCGUCUCUGCGUCUCUGUGUCUCUCCAUGUCUCUCCCUCUCUGUGUCCGUCCUUGUAUCUCGGUGUCUCUGGCCCUGUCUCUGUGUCUCCCCCUCCCCCUUCCAGCCUGCUCUCUGCUCAGCCAGCAGGAAGGGACACAGCCCUUCCUUGGGAAGCCCAUCCUGGGCGGGUCUGGUGACAGGAAUCAAUCCCAGGGAAGCAGACGGGGAGGCAGGGACAGGAGAGGUGGACGCUGUGGGGCUGGGGACACAGCUGGAGGAGCAGGGGACAGAUGGCUCGGGGGGACACAGGUUUGGCCAAAAGUCAGGAAAUGGAGCCCCACUGCCGACCCAGCCUCCACAGCAGCGCUGACCCCAUCCCCAUGUCUGCCCAGCCCCUCAGGGUGCAGGCUCCAGGACAGAGCUCUGCCGCCCCUGUUGACAUGGGGGGCGGGGGGCGGUGACAGCUCUACCCACGGUGUGCCCCUCCCUGGGGAGUCACCUGGACCUCCCCAGACGCAGUCCCUAUAGGCCCCAGGCCGUGACCCGCGGGACCACAGGAACCGGCCUGUGGCGCUCCGGCUGCCGCGCACGCCAUCAUCUGCAGGUUUACAGGCGUGGAAACGCAUUGACUAUUCAUCACGGCCUCCGAACAAGGAUCAGAGCCCAGAGCCGUAGCUGACGCGCGGACUGAUUUCUGACACACUGAGGGCGGGGUGGCCCUGGGCGAUGCUCCUCGCCCCUCCUGGUCUGGCUCUCCUCCCCUCAAACCCCUAAACCAGCGGCCUGCACAGCACUGGACAGGGGGUGCCCCAGACCCAGCAGGCCCUGCCCCACGCUGGCGCCGAGCCAGACUCAAGAGUCAAGGGGACCACGUCCCCGCUGCCCCCCGAGGGCCAGGGGCCCAGACUUGCAGCCCAAACACCCCCUCUAUGGGCUCCUGAAGCCCUUCUGCCUCCAGGCACAAACAUGGGUGUCCACGGCCAUGCAGUCCAGCCCGAGAGCCUCCUCUCAGAACCAUCCAGAAACACAACCCCUUCCUUUCAGAACUCACCAAGGACGAAGUUAAUUCUGCCUUUACUUGGCCACAUCUCUGAGAAAUCUUUUUAUAAAGCCAGUGUUACAGUCAUGAAACGGGAGAAAGUCACCCCUGUGAGGGGGUCAGCACCAACAGGGGGCGACACCCCAGGCCCCCUGGUUACUGGCUGGAGCCUGCGUCCGUCUGUCCAGGCCUCCCUGUCACCUCCCCCAGCACACGGCCCGACCAAGGACAGGCCACAAGCACACCCGCCAGGGGCAGUUCAGCACUUGUGCAUGGGCCAAGAGCCCCACGGACCAGGAGGAGGGGAGCAGGGAGGAGGGAGCAGAGAGGAGGGGAGGAGGCCGGAGACGCACCCCCACCAGCACCUCCUCCUGGGACCCACACGCCCAGCAGUUUCUUGUAUAAAGUAAAUUCCAGCUCUCAAAAAUCACCCUGACAGACACAGCUUCCCGCCUUGGGAUGGAAGGAAUUUGGGGAACCCCUGGGCUGACAUCCAAGCCCCUGCCUUCCUUGCACGGGCACCUGCUGCCUGCCUGGUGGACCGACCCUGAGGGGUCACGCUGCGGCAGGAAUGCCCCCUUAUUUACGGGAAACGCAAGUAACUCCUCCAGCACAGCAGGAAGGGUGCCGUGUGCACAUGUGAUUACAUCAGGCAGAUGCAGGCAAAGCCGCUGUCCCCCUAGACUGGAGCCUUCUGUCAUGUGUCGGCGCAGCGGCCCACCCAGUGUAGGGCAGCCUGGCCCCACCUGGUCCCUCCCUAUGGAUGCCCACCCACCCGACCCCGGCUCGGACCACCCUGCAGACCGCGGGGGGCACCGGGGGGAGCACCUCACUGUGAAGCCCAGGAUGCCCUCGACCUCCUGGCCUCCCCUGGGUCCCCACCCCCACCUACACACGGGGAAGAUGGGCACCAGGGUCCCCUGCCCUCCUGUCGGCCCAGAUGGGCUGCAGGGACGCACACCCUGGAAACAAUCUCUCCCCCUCGACUACCUGCGAUUCACGGCCUAAACACUCCUGCCGUCUGGCAAACGCUGCCCCUUUCAUUCCUUCCUAUUAAAUCACCGCGAGCAGCGCAUGUCUAAAUGCUCUUCCAGAACAGAAGCCAGCGGCAGGCCCAUCAGGUUCCCUCCAGGCCCCAAUCAGUUCUGGACCCAAGGCGGGACUCUGUCCUCCGCAGACCCUGGCCUGGGUCUGAUUUUAGUUCCAAAGGAAAAGUGACCAAGGCCAUGUCCCCAGGACAAGAACUCUGACACCAGGCCUGGCCCCCGCACCAUCGGGGAGAAGGGCCUGCAGGCUGAGUCCCUGGCCACGCAAGCAAUAUCCAACUCAGCUUCUCUGACGGACGGAGUCAGGGCUGCCCACUGCCCACUGCCCAGUCCAGGGCUUGAGAACAAAGCGUGCAUUGAUGUCUUAUCAGUUUCACAGUGAGCGGGCCGCUGGGGCCAGGGGCCAAGGCCACGUCCCCCAGGGGGAGCUGACGGCUGCACCAGCCCGAGUUCCAGCCCCACGUUUGCCCUCCCGGCAUCUCAGCCAGGCUCAGACCUGCACACGCAGGGAGUGAAAAGACACGCCGAAUUCCUUCCAUCAGAGCUCAGCGCUCCUCGCCCAGAAGCGGACUCUAGCUCCUGACUUGGAAUCACGUCUAACUCUGGAAAUCCUGGGCUGUUUCUGCACUGGUCCACACAGGCGUC
ensembl:lncRNA